rnacentral:misc_RNA from 1 species
GGAUGCUCGGCUUAUUAAAAGCCUCUAGAACAGCCCUUUUAAUAUCUCUAGCAGAAGACGACUGUGCUCGAGGAAGUAUCGAAGCAGAAUCAGGGAAGUUAAGAGCAGCAAACUCACCUCUAAAAGCCAAAGCAGCAACAUCAUGAGCCCUAGCUGCCAUUUCAGGAGUUAGGAAGGUACCAAGCCAUAUUCUUGAUGAUUUCAUGUUUGGUUCUCGCACUUCACAUACCCAUUUAUUCCCAUUUCUCCUGCGAACACCUCUAUAAACUGGGUGCCUGGUCUCCUUAAACUUAGUCCUCCCUGCUUUCUUCUUCUUCAAAACCAAUACUGGCUUCUGAGUUGAAGAUGGUGAAGAUGAUGAAGCACUCUCAGAGUCC